ACCCUACGCGUCCCACAUCGGAAGAAUCAACAUCUCCCACGCUUCCAACGGCAAAAAGAUUCUUCCGGGUUUCAUUGUUCAUAAGUGCUAUAUUUGCUUUCUAGAGCUUUUAUAUCCUUUUGUACACUCUUUUAUUGUGGUGCUUGUUCCAGUCAAGGGACUUGGAACAAGAGAAAGGGCGUCCCAAGCCUAAGAGAAAUUGGGGGUUUUGGGUUUGUUGUGAGCCCGGUGUAAACAAUGAGUUGGGUAGUGAACUCGCAAAACUACCGUACUGUAAUCUUGGAUUAUAGUGGAAAUUCCCAAGGCGAUUUGGGGAGUGGAUGUAGGAGCGGUGAAGGCUCCGAACCACUAUAAAAUCGUGUGUUUGUGGUUGUCUCUUCUUAUCGCUUUAUCUUUGCUUUAGUUCAUAUAUUUGUGUGUUUUAUUUUUAAAUUAGCCAAAAAGUUUUAAAACACCCAAUUCACCCCCCUCUUGGGUGACCAUCUC
rnacentral:lncRNA from 1 species